UCACUUACCUGGAUCGGGUCUAUGAGUGAUCAAUAAGGCUCAUGGCCUAGAUCGAUGGCUCUCAUUGCACUUUGUGAGUGCGUUGAUCUACCAUCUCCCCUUGGAGGGAGAGUGUACGUCAUAAUUUGUGAUAGAGAGGUAUGCGUUCGCGCGGCCCGUG
rfam:Triticum aestivum genome assembly, contig: Triticum_aestivum_CS42_TGACv1_scaffold_592465_7BS